rnacentral:rRNA from 1 species
UACGUAGGGUGCAAGCGUUAUCCGGAUUCACUGGGUUUAAAGGGUGCGUAGGCGGAUUGUUAAGUCCGUGGUGAAAUCCCCGAGCUUAACUUGGGAACUGCCGUGGAUACUAUCGAUCUUGAAUACUGUGGAGGUAAGCGGAAUAUGUCAUGUAGCGGUGAAAUGCUUAGAUAUGACAUAGAACACCAAUUGCGAAGGCAGCUUACUACACAGUUAUUGACGCUGAGGCACGAAAGCGUGGGGAGCAAACAGG